rnacentral:tRNA from 1 species
GCUCGGUAGCUUAGUUGGCAAAGCGCUCGUCUAGCAUACAAGAAUCUUGGAUUCGGAUCCAAGCCGAGCA